AUGGUUGCAACCAAGCAAGCUAGAAACAUACAGGGCUCACAACAAAACGGUCGAAAAAACAAUUUUUACAGGGCUCACAACAAAAUGAUUGAGCAAACACAUUUGUACAGAGACUAUCAACAUCAAGAAUACCACGAAGACAAAGGCCACCCAAUGGUACUUUCAAUUUCAAAAGCAACACGGCCGAGUCGGCGUCUGAUUUGCAGUCUUCUUUUUCUUUCAGUACACGCUAUUCCUGAACAGCUUGCCCAACGUUUACUCGUGUCUGGCCUCUCUGCCGGUCAGUCUCCCUUUUCUCUUCUUCUGUUCCUCCGACAUUGGGUUUCUCUGUCUCUUUUUAGUCUUCUUUUUCUUUCAGUUCACGCUAUUCCUGAAAAGCUUGCCCAACGUUUACUCGUGUCUGGCCUCUCUGUCGGUCAGUCUCCCUUUUCUCUUCUUCUGUUCCUCCGACAUUGGGUUUCUCUGUCUCUUUUUAGUCGGCUGAUCUAUGAUGAAUAUAACAAUCCCUUAGUUGCCGGUUCCGUGUUUGGGGGUCUGUGCCGUAAAGCAAUUUGUUACUGUAGUGACCCUUGCACAGAAGCAUACGGCCGACAUCUUUCUUUAUUCUGGGUGGAAAUAGUAACAUAGUUACGCCAUUAAAUGCGUUUAUGGAAACAUUUUUAGCGAGAAAUGUGCAUUUUACUUUCAUAAUGUUCGCUCUGUGAAUGUGAAGGAUGUUCGGUUUGAUAGUUAUGACGAAGAGUGAACGCUCCGUUCACUUGCAUGGACAGAGUCUCUGGUUGCUAAGCAACCUCAACGUCUUGGCGGACUAUUUCUCUCCUGAUCAACACUACGAAUGCUGGAAACACACCAGACACACCAUGUGAAGUUAUUUAACCCGAUUAUCGUUAUUUAUGAGUCCUUAGCCCAAGUGAAGGAGUUCAAGUACCUCGGGGUCUUGUUCGCGAGUGAGGGUACUAUGGAGCGUGAGAUUGGCCGGAGAAUCAGAGCAGCGGGGGCGGUAUUGCGUUCGCUUUACCGCACCGUUGUUACGAAAAGAGAGCUGAGCCGCAAGGCAAAGCUCUCGAUCUACCGGUCGAUCUUCGUUCCUAUCCUCACCUAUGGUCAUGAGGGUUGGGUGAUGACCGAAAGGACGAGAUCGCGGGUAAAAGCGGCCGAGAUGAGUUUUCUCAGAAGGGUGGCUGGCGUCGCGGGAUAGGGUGAGAAGCUCAGUCAUCCGUGAGGAACUCGGAUUAGAGCCGCUGCUCCUUUACUUAGAAAGGAGUCAGCUGAGGUGGUUCGGGCAUCUGGCAAGGAUGCCCACUGGGCGCCUCCCUUUGGAGGUGUUUCAGGCACGUCCAUUGGGGAGGAGACCUCGGGGAAGACCCAGGACUAGGUGGAGAGAUUAUAUCUCAACACUGGCCUGGGAACGCCCCGGGAUCCCCCCGUCAGAGCUGGUCAAUGUGGCCCGGGAAAGGGAAGUCUGGAGCCCCCUGCUUGAGCUGCUCCCCCCGCGACCCGACCCCGGAUAAACGGAUGACGAUGAGAUGAGAUGAGAUCGUUAUUUAUAUCCGAGAUUAUUUAAUCUAACCCGAUCUAAACUCUAUCAUGAACCCAAACACGGCGGCGUUUGGGUUUCCUACCUCGGACUCUAGCGCAGCCACAGGCGCGUUGAACCAUUUUUGUGACACACAAUGAUCGGUCGGUGUGGCCGUACCAUUAGUCGAUUGAUCCAUGAUGAAUGCAACAAUUGCCUCGCAACUGGCUGUUUAUAUCUAGCCGGUGCCAUGUUUGGGUGUGUGUCUGUGCCGUAAAGCAUUUUCGAAACUACAAUCUGACUAAAUUUUCGAGGAUACUUCCGCUGCGUCACAUCCGGAUUGUGUCGGUCCGAACAGAUCAAGUUGCAUAUGCGCUUUUUCACUGGAGAGGCGACAUGGGUAAAUGACACACCCACCAAUCAACCCAGAAAUGGAUGCAGAACCAUCAGCAUAACUCUCAACCUGCAUACUUAAUGUAAUUUUGGCUAAAAAAGUUGCAUAGUGGUCCUUUAACAUUUCAGUUGCGUUGGUAGGUAUUUCAUUUUCAUUUGCUUGUUUAGCUAUGUAUGACAGGGUUGUGGUUAGCUAUGUAUGACAGUUGACAAUGUUGGUGUAUUACAAUUCAUUAUUUGGGUAGGCUACUCCAACUUCGUUGCUGGUAGAUAUGUAAACAUUUACUUUUAUAUAAAUUAUUGAUUGCAUUUUUCGUAAAUAGUUAGUUGGAAGGAAUCUGUUUCUUAAGCAAUAAC
rnacentral:lncRNA from 1 species